UACGAAGGGGGCUAGCGUUGUUCGGAAUCACUGGGCGUAAAGGGCGCGUAGGCGGCUUUAUAAGUCGGGGGUGAAAGCCUGUGGCUCAACCCCAGAAUUGCCUUCGAUACUGUAGAGCUUGAGACCGGAAGAGGUAAGUGGAACUGCGAGUGUAGAGGUGAAAUUCGUAGAUAUUAGCAAGAACACCGGUGGCGAAGGCGGCGCUCUGGACCGAGACUGACGCUGAGGCGCGAAAGCGUGGGGAGCAAUCAGG
rnacentral:rRNA from 1 species